GACGAACGCUGGCGGCGUGCCUAAUACAUGCAAGUUGAGCGCUGAAGGUUGGUACUUGUACCAACUGGAUGAGCAGCGAACGGGUGAGUAACGCGUGGGGAAUCUGCCUUUGAGCGGGGGACAACAUUUGGAAACGAAUGCUAAUACCGCAUAAAAACUUUAAACACAAGUUUUAAGUUUGAAAGAUGCAAUUGCAUCACUCAAAGAUGAUCUCGCGUUGUAUUAGCUAGUUGGUGAGGUAAAGGCUCACCAAGGCGAUGAUACAUAGCCGACCUGAGAGGGUGAUCGGCCACAUUGGGACUGAGACACGGCCCAAACUCCUACGGGAGGCAGCAGUAGGGAAUCUUCGGCCAUGGACGAAAGUCUGACCGAGCAACGCCGCGUGAGUGAAGAAGGUUUUCGGAUCGUAAAACUCUGUUGGUAGAGAAGAACGUUGGUGAGAGUGGAAAGCUCAUCAAGUGACGGUAACUACCCAGAAAGGGACGGCUAACUACGUG
rnacentral:rRNA from 1 species